GUGAGUAACACGUGGGUGAUCUGCCCUGCACUUCGGGAUAAGCCUGGGAAACUGGGUCUAAUACCGGAUAGGAGCCAUCUUUAGUGUGGUGGUUGGAAAGUUUUUCGGUGUAGGAUGAGCUCGCGGCCUAUCAGCUUGUUGGUGGGGUAAUGGCCUACCAAGGCGGCGACGGGUAGCCGGCCUGAGAGGGUGUACGGCCACAUUGGGACUGAGAUACGGCCCAG
rnacentral:rRNA from 1 species